rnacentral:rRNA from 1 species
GACGAACGCUGGCGGCGUGCCUAAUACAUGCAAGUAGAACGCUGAAGGAGGAGCUUGCUUCUCUGGAUGAGUUGCGAACGGGUGAGUAACGCGUAGGUAACCUGCCUGGUAGCGGGGGAUAACUAUUGGAAACGAUAGCUAAUACCGCAUAAUAGUAGAUGUUGCAUGACAUUUACUUAAAAGGUGCAAUUGCAUCACUACCAGAUGGACCUGCGUUGUAUUAGCUAGUUGGUGGGGUAACGGCUCACCAAGGCGACGAUACAUAGCCGACCUGAGAGGGUGAUCGGCCAAACUGGGACUGAGACACGGCCCAGACUCCUAAGGGAGGCAGCAGGAGGGAAUCAUCGGCAAUGGACGGAAGUCUGAACGAGCAAAGACGCGUGAGUGAAGAAGGUUUUCGGAUCGGAAAGCUCUGUUGUAAGAGAAGAACGAGUGUGAGAGUGGAAAGUUCACACUGUGACGGUAUCUUACCAGAAAGGGACGGCUAACUACGUG